ensembl:lncRNA
AAUGGGAGGGGUUUACGCCUUCUCCAGGAACUAACAUUCUAGACUUUGUAAGCAACCUACAAAGCACCCUCCGACACUCUUUAGCCCUUGCUAAAGAAAACCUAAAGAAUGCUCAGGAAGAGCAAAAGGCCUGGUAUGAUAAACAUUCCAGAAAACGGUCCUUCAAAGUAGGAGACCAAGUCAUGGUCUUAAAGGCGCUCCAGGCCCAUAAAAUGGAAGCAUCGUGGGAAGGACCAUUCACGGUCCAGGAGCGCCUAGGAGCUGUUAACUAUCUCAUAGCCUCCUCCACCUCCAACAUAAAGCCUAAGGUAUACCAUGUUAAUUCCCUUAAGCCCUUUUAUUCCAGAGAAUUAAACGUUUGCCAGUUUACAGCCCAGGAAACAGAUGACACGGAGUGGCCUGAAGGUGUCUACUAUGAAGGAAAAAAGGAUGGUGGUGUGGAAGAGGUGAACCUCUCCACGACCCUUGGACGUCUGCAGCAACAGCAGAUCAAGGAGCUGUGCACAAGCUUUGCACCAAUUUUCUCAGCCACUCCAGGAUGGACCGAACGGGCAUACCACUCCAUUGACACAGGUAAUGCUCACCCUAUUAGAACCCCACCCUACCGGGAGUCACCUCAUGCCAAAACUGCUAUACAAAGGGAGAUCCAGGACAUGCUACAGAUGGGUAUAAUCCACCCCUCUAAGAGUGCAUGGGCCUCUCCAGUGGUUCUAGUUCCCAAACCAGAUGGGGAAAUACGCUUUUGCGUGGACUACCGUAAGCUAAAUGUUGUAACUCGUCCUGACAACUAUCCAAUGCCACGCACAGAUGAGCUAUUGGAGAAAUUGGGACAUGCCCAAUUCAUCUCUACUUUGAACUUAACCAAGGGGUACUGGCAAGAACCACUGGAUGAACCCGCUAAGGAAAGGUCAGCCUUCGUCACCCAGGCAGGGGUGUAUAAAUUCAAUGUACUCCCUUUUGGGUUGCGAAAUGCACCCGCCACCUUCCAAAGACUUGUAGAUGGUCUCCUAGCAGGAUUGGAAGAAUCUGCAGUUGCCUACCUCGAUGAUGUGGCCAUUUUUUC